AGAAUUAUAAUUAAUAAUUUUAUAAAUAAUAAAAAUAAUUUUAAUAUUAAAAUUGGGGGGUUUUAGUAUUAAUAAAAAAAAAAUUAUAAAAUUUAUAGUAAAUUAGUAUUGUAGAAGAAAUUUUAAAUAAUUUUGAAAAUAAAUUUAAUAAAAAGUAAAUUUAAUUUAUUGUAUCUUGUGUAUCAGAGUUUAUUAAUAAAAAAAUUUAGAUAAAUUAGUUCUCGAAUUUAAAAGAGAUAAUUAAUUAUAAAAGUUAUUGUUGCAUAAAUAUUUUUAAUAAUUAAUUUGAAAUGAAAUGUUAAUCGUUUUUAAAGAUAUCUAGUUUUUUUAGAAAAAAAUUUAAUUUUAUUUUUUUUUUAUAAAAAAUUAAUUAAUUAAUUUUUUAUAAAAAAAAAAUUAUAUUUUAAGGGAUAAGCUUUAAAUUAAAUUUUUAUAAUUAUAAAAUAAAAUUUAAUUAAAAUUUUUAAAAUUUAUAUUGUUUAUAAUUUUUAAUUUAUUAUAAAUUAAUUUUAAUAAACUUAAAUUAAAUUAAAAUUUUUUAAUAAUUUAAUUUUUUAUAAGAAAAUAAUUUUAAAUAAAAAAAAAUUAAUUAUAAUGAUAAAAUUAGUAUUUAAAUAAGAUAAAAUAAGUAAAAUUUAAUAUUAAAAUUAAAUUAAAGGAAUUCGGCAAAUAAUAUUAUAUUCACUUGUUUAUCAAAAACAUGUCUUUUUGAAAAUAAUUUAAAGUCUAAUCUGCCCACUGAUAUAUUAUUAAAGGGCUGCAGUAUAUUGACUGUACAAAGGUAGCAUAAUCAAUAGUCUCUUAAUUGGUGACUUGUAUGAAAGAUUGAAUGAAAUAUAAACUGUCUCUAAUUUAUAAAAAGAAUUUAAUUUUUUAAUUAAAAAGUUAAAAUAAUUUUAAAAGACGAGAAGACCCUAUAGAGUUUUAUAAAAAAAUUAAUUAAAAUUUUAUUUUAAAAUAAAAGUUAAAAUUAAUAAAUUUAUUUUGUUGGGGUGAUAAAAAAAUAAAAAUAACUUUUUUUAAAAAAAUUCAUAUAUAAGUGAAUAAAUGAUCCAUAAUAUUAUGAUUAAAAGAAAAAAUUACCUUAGGGAUAACAGCGUAAUUUUUUUUUUUAGUUCGUAUAAGAAAAAAAGUUUGCGACCUCGAUGUUGGAUUAAGAUAAAAUUUAUAUGCAAAAGUAUAAAAUUUUGAUCUGUUCGAUCAUUAAAAUCUUACAUGAUCUGAGUUCAAACCGGUGUGAGCCAGGUUGGUUUCUAUCUUUAAAAAAAUAAAAUAUUUUAGUACGAAAGGAAUAAAUAUUUAAAUUAAAUUUAUAAAAAAAGAAUUUUAUUAAUUUAUGUAAUUUAUGUAAAAAAAAUAAAUAAAUAAUAUAGUUAAAA
rnacentral:rRNA from 1 species